rnacentral:rRNA from 1 species
CUCAUGAUGAACGCUAGCUACAGGCUUAACACAUGCAAGUCGAGGGGCAUCAGGAAGAAAGCUUGCUUUCUUUGCUGGCGACCGGCGCACGGGUGAGUAACACGUAUCCAACCUGCCCUUUACUCGGGGAUAGCCUUUCGAAAGAAAGAUUAAUACCCGAUAGCAUAAUGAUUCCGCAUGGUUUCAUUAUUAAAGGAUUCCGGUAAAGGAUGGGGAUGCGUUCCAUUAGGUUGUUGGUGAGGUAACGGCCCACCAAGCCUUCGAUGGAUAGGGGUUCUGAGAGGAAGGUCCCCACAUUGGAACUGAGACACGGUCCAAACUCCUACGGGAGGCAGCAGUGAGGAAUAUUGGUCAAUGGGCGCUAGCCUGAACCAGCCAAGUAGCGUGAAGGAUGAAGGCUCUAUGGGUCGUAAACUUCUUUUAUAUAAGAAUAAAGUGCAGUAUGUAUACUGUUUUGUAUGUAUUAUAUGAAUAAGGAUCGGCUAACUCCGUGCCAGCAGCCGCGGUAAUACGGAGGAUCCGAGCGUUAUCCGGAUUUAUUGGGUUUAAAGGGAGCGUAGGUGGACUGGUAAGUCAGUUGUGAAAGUUUGCGGCUCAACCGUAAAAUUGCAGUUGAUACUGUCAGUCUUGAGUACAGUAGAGGUGGGCGGAAUUCGUGGUGUAGCGGUGAAAUGCUUAGAUAUCACGAAGAACUCCGAUUGCGAAGGCAGCUCACUGGACUGCAACUGACACUGAUGCUCGAAAGUGUGGGUAUCAAACAGGAUUAGAUACCCUGGUAGUCCACACAGUAAACGAUGAAUACUCGCUGUUUGCGAUAUACAGUAAGCGGCCAAGCGAAAGCAUUAAGUAUUCCACCUGGGGAGUACGCCGGCAACGGUGAAACUCAAAGGAAUUGACGGGGGCCCGCACAAGCGGAGGAACAUGUGGUUUAAUUCGAUGAUACGCGAGGAACCUUACCCGGGCUUAAAUUGCAGUGGAAUGAUGUGGAAACAUGUCAGUGAGCAAUCACCGCUGUGAAGGUGCUGCAUGGUUGUCGUCAGCUCGUGCCGUGAGGUGUCGGCUUAAGUGCCAUAACGAGCGCAACCCUUAUCUUUAGUUACUAACAGGUUAUGCUGAGGACUCUAGAGAGACUGCCGUCGUAAGAUGUGAGGAAGGUGGGGAUGACGUCAAAUCAGCACGGCCCUUACGUCCGGGGCUACACACGUGUUACAAUGGGGGGUACAGAAGGCAGCUAGCGGGUGACCGUAUGCUAAUCCCAAAAUCCUCUCUCAGUUCGGAUCGAAGUCUGCAACCCGACUUCGUGAAGCUGGAUUCGCUAGUAAUCGCGCAUCAGCCACGGCGCGGUGAAUACGUUCCCGGGCCUUGUACACACCGCCCGUCAAGCCAUGGGAGCCGGGGGUACCUGAAGUACGUAACCGCAAGGAUCGUCCUAGGGUAAAACUGG